AGCAGCCGCGGUAAUUCCAGCUCCAAUAGCGUAUAUUAAAGUUGUUGCAGUUAAAAAGCUCGUAGUUGAAUUUCGGGGUCAGUAGAUUGGUCGUGCCACUGGUAUGUACUGGUCUUACUGGCUCCUCCUUCCUGAUGAACCGUAAUGCCAUUAAUUUGGUGUUGCGGGGAGACUGGACUGUUACUUUGAAAAAAUUAGAGUGUUUAAAGCAGGCUAACGCUUGAAUACAUUAGCAUGGAAUAAUGAAAUAGGACGUUCGAUCUUAUUUUGUUGGUUUCUAGGAUUGGCGUAAUGAUUAAUAGGGAUAGUUGGGGGCAUUAGUAUUCAAUUGUCAGAGGUGAAAUUCUUGGAUUUAUUGAAGACUAACUACUGCGAAAGCAUUUGCCAAGGAUGUUUUCAUUAAUCAAGAACGAAAGUUAGGGGAUCGAAGACGAUCAGAUACCGUCGUAGUCUUAACCAUAAACUAUGCCGACUAGGGAUCGGAUGAUGUUAAUUUUUUAAUGACUCAUUCGGCGCCUUACG
rnacentral:rRNA from 1 species